UAGCGAUAAAGCGGGUGAAAAGCCCGCUCGCCGAAAGCCCAAGGUUUCCUACGCAACGUUCAUCGGCGUAGGGUGAGUCGGCCCCUAAGGCGAGGCAGAAAUGCGUAGUCGAUGGGAAACAGGUUAAUAUUCCUGUACUUGAUUCAAAUGCGAUGUGGGGACGGAGAAGGUUAGGUUAGCAAGCUGUUGGAAUAGCUUGUUUAAGCCGGUAGGUGGAAGACUUAGGCAAAUCCGGGUCUUCUUAACACCGAGAAGUGAUGACGAGUGUCUACGGACAUGAAGUAACCGAUACCACGCUUCCAGGAAAAGCCACGGAGAAGGAACUCGGCAAAUUGAUACCGUAACUUCGGGAGAAGGUAUGCCCUCUAAGGUUAAGGACUUGCUCCGUAAGCCCUGGAGGGUCGCAGAGAAUAGGUGGCUGCGACUGUUUAUUAAAAACACAGCACUCUGCUAACACGAAAGUGGACGUAUAGGGUGUGACGCCUGCCCGGUGCUGGAAGGUUAAUUGAAGAUGUGCAAGCAUCGGAUCGAAGCCCCAGUAAACGGCGGCCGUAACUAUAACGGUCCUAAGGUAGCGAAAUUCCUUGUCGGGUAAGUUCCGACCCGCACGAAUGGCGUAACGAUGGCCACACUGUCUCCUCCUGAGACUCAGCGAAGUUGAAGUGGUUGUGAAGAUGCAAUCUACCCGCUGCUAGACGGAAAGACCCCGUGAACCUUUACUGUAGCUUUGCAUUGGACUUUGAAGUCACUUGUGUAGGAUAGGUGGGAGGCUUUGAAGCAGAGACGCCAGUCUCUGUGGAGCCGUCCUUGAAAUACCACCCUGGUGUCUUUGAGGUUCUAACCCAGACCCGUAAUCCGGGUCGGGGACCGUGCAUGGUAGGCAGUUUGACUGGGGCGGUCUCCUCCCAAAGAGUAACGGAGGAGUUCGAAGGUUACCUAGGUCCGGUCGGAAAUCGGACUGAUAGUGCAAUGGCAAAAGGUAGCUUAACUGCGAGACCGACAAGUCGAGCAGGUGCGAAAGCAGGACAUAGUGAUCCGGUGGUUCUGUAUGGAAGGGCCAUCGCUCAACGGAUAAAAGGUACUCCGGGGAUAACAGGCUGAUUCCGCCCAAGAGUUCAUAUCGACGGCGGAGUUUGGCACCUCGAUGUCGGCUCAUCACAUCCUGGGGCUGUAGUCGGUCCCAAGGGUAUGGCUGUUCGCCAUUUAAAGUGGUACGUGAGCUGGGUUUAAAACGUCGUGAGACAGUUUGGUCCCUAUCUGCAGUGGGCGUUGGAAGUUUGACGGGGGCUGCUCCUAGUACGAGAGGACCGGAGUGGACGAACCUCUGGUGUACCGGUUGU
rnacentral:rRNA from 1 species